GAAGGAAAAUUAAUUACAGAGGCAGUUUUCAAAGAAAGCAAUAUCCAGCUGUUUGCAAUACAUCGCAGUAGUGCCAAGCUUCUGGCUGUGAAACAUCCAACAGGCUGUAACUUAGAAAUGGUUAUUGGCCCAUAAAUUACCAGAAUCUUAAACCAAUCUAAAGGAUUCUGAAGAUAUUAUUAAAAUAAGUGGCACAAAAGGAACUAAAGAGCCUGCAAGAGCACGGGGAGGAUGCAGCAGCACUGCUUUCAGGUCAGUGCCUGGAAGAAGCAGAUUCCCAUGUGACAGAGGUUACCAGUCUUUCAGAAUUACAAGAGGAAGCCCUCCACGUGAAUUUAAAAAGUAUUGAUCCUCAGAAAUUCACAACCCCAAGCGCCGGAUGGACCUGGUUCUCCCCGGUGGUGCCAAUCAACAGGACAAGAAGCAACAGGCAGAAACUGAGGCCCAGGAAGUUCCAUCUGAAAAUGAGGAAGAAUUUUGCUACUGUGUGUGUGACCUUGCACUGGAACAGAUUGCUCAGAGAGGGUGUGGAGUCUCCCUCACUAGAGAUAUUCAAGACCCAUCUGUGUGCAAUCCUGUGCAGUGCUCUCUGGGAUGACCCUGCUGGAGCAGGGAGGUUGGACCAGAUGACCCACUGUGGUCCCUUCCAACCUGACCUGUUCUGUGAUUCUGUGAAAUGAAAACGUUUUGAAAUAUUUACAAGAUAAACUAUGCUUUAGCAUAGGAGGAGCUCAUGACUUUUUUGA